rnacentral:ncRNA from 1 species
CAACCAUCCAGAGCGGCCGAGAGAUCUGGCUCCGUGACGCCGCAGCAACCUCCCGCGUUUCUCCGGGAAGGUGCUCAUGCCAGAGCCGAUGGAGCGUGAUUCACGGUGACUG